rnacentral:rRNA from 1 species
UUCUGUGUUGAAAGAUUAAUCGCUACCGGAUUGGCUCGCGUGCCAUUAGCUAGUUGGCGGGGUAACGGCCCACCAAGGCGACGAUGGCUAGGGGUUCUGAGAGGAAGGUCCCCCACAUUGGAACUGAGACACGGUCCAGACUCCUACGGGAGGCAGCAGUGAGGAAUAUUGGUCAAUGGCCGAGAGGCUGAACCAGCCAUGCCGCGUGCGGGAGGACGGCCCUAUGGGUUGUAAACCGCUUUUGUCAGGGGGCAAUAAGGUCCACGUGUGGACUGAUGAGAGUACCUGGCGAAUAAGCAUCGGCUAACUCCGUGCCAGCAGCCGCGGUAAUACGGAGGAUGCAAGCGUUAUCCGGAUUUAUUGGGUUUAAAGGGUGCGUAGGCGGGCUUUUAAGCGUGAGGUGAAAUGCCUGGGCUCAACCUGGGAACUGCCUCGCGAACUGGAGGCCUUGAAUGUCCGUGCCGUGGGAGGAAUGUGUGGUGUAGCGGUGAAAUGCAUAGAGAUCACACAGAACACCGAUUGCGAAGGCAUCUCACGAACGGAUGAUUGACGCUGAGGCACGAAAGCGUGGGGAUCAAAC